rnacentral:rRNA from 1 species
ACUGCUCAGUAACACGUGGCUAACCUGCCCUCGGGACGAGAAUACCCCCGGGAAACUGGGGCUAAUUCUCGAUAGGCGAAGAACUCUGGAAUGAGUCUCCACCUAAAAGACGUUUAAUUCAUGCUAUUAGGCGUCGCCCAAGGAUGGGGCCGCGACCGAUCAGGUAGUUGGUGAGGCAAUGGCUCACCAAGCCUUUUACCGGUACGGGCCGUGAGAGCGGGAGCCCGGAGAUGGGCACUGAGACAAGGGCCCAGGCCCUACGGGGCGCAGCAGUCGCGAAAACUUUGCAAUACACGAAAGUGUGACAGGGCUAUCCCGAGUGCCAUCCGCUGAGGAAGGCUUUUGCCCAGUAUAGAAAGCUGGGGGAAUAAGGAGAGGGCAAGUCUGGUGUCAGCCGCCGCGGUAAUACCAGCUCUCCGAGUGGUGUGGAUGUUUAUUGGGCCUAAAGCACCCGUAGCUGGCUGGGCAAGUCCCCUGUUAAAUCCACCGAAUCAAUCGUUGGACUGCGGGGGAUACUGCUCGGCUAGGGGGCGGGAGAGGCCGACGGUAUUCUCGGGGUAGGGGUGAAAUCCUAUAAUCCCGGGAGGACCACCAGUGGCGAAGGCUGUCGGCUAGAACGCGCCCGACGGUGAGGGAUGAAAGCUGGGGGAGCGAACCGGAUUAGAUACCCGGGUAGUCCCAGCUGUAAACGAUGCAGGCUAGGUGUUUGGGCGGCUACGUGCCGCUCUAGUGCCGCAGGGAAGCUGUUAAGCCUGCCGCCUGGGGAGUACGGCCGCAAGGCUGAAACUUAAAGGAAUUGGCGGGGGAGCAC